rnacentral:rRNA from 1 species
AUUGAACGCUGGCGGCAUGCUUUACACAUGCAAGUCGAACGGUAACAGGCCGCAAGGUGCUGACGAGUGGCGAACGGGUGAGUAAUGCAUCGGAACGUGCCCAGUCGUGGGGGAUAACGCAGCGAAAGCUGUGCUAAUACCGCAUACGAUCUAUGGAUGAAAGCGGGGGACCGUAAGGCCUCGCGCGAUUGGAGCGGCCGAUGUCAGACUAGGUAGUUGGUGGGGUAAAGGCCCACCAAGCCAACGAUCUGUAGCUGGUCUGAGAGGACGACCAGCCACACUGGGACUGAGACACGGCCCAGACUCCUACGGGAGGCAGCAGUGGGGAAUUUUGGACAAUGGGCGCAAGCCUGAUCCAGCAAUGCCGCGUGCAGGAAGAAGGCCUUCGGGUUGUAAACUGCUUUUGUACGGAACGAAAAGGUCUGGGUUAAUACCCUGGGCCGAUGACGGUACCGUAAGAAUAAGCACCGGCUAACUACGUGCCAGCCGCCGCGUAAGAC